UCAUGUUAUUGUCAUUGCCAUACUCUCCGUGUUCACUGUGUAUGUCUUGAUGUUUCCUUUGAUUAUCAUAAGGCACGCGGUGAAUGCCAAGAGUUGUGGUUAUCUUAUUGAUAUGGACAUGA
rnacentral:pre_miRNA from 1 species